UACCUGGAAAACAUUCACUUGGUUAGAAUGUUUAUUGGUGGAGACAGGAAACAUACCAGAUGGCAAGUGUUACUAAGUCAAUCCAAAUAUGAGUUAAGUCCAUCUUCUGGCUCCUCUCUGAUUCAAAUAAUUAUGAAUGUAAUGUUCUGUAGCAUGGCUUCCCAAAUAUACUGAUGUGCCAAUCACACUAUUCUAGGGUAAAGUUGACAUGCCUGGACAAGCUAAGGAGAAAUCCAUGCCAGAAAUAGGACUCAAGAUUCAAGGAAAUACAUAGUUGAUUACUGUUUCAUCUCAUAUGCAGUCACCUGCUGCUCUAACAGUCACAUUCUAACUCUGACAGCCUGGUUCUGAUUCUUGGUGGCUCACAAAAUUAAAAGGAAAUUACAAUAAAAUAAUUAGAAAUAAUAGAUGGCAAAUGGAUUGAAGCAAAGUGUCUCAUUUCCUCAACAAAUGUUUGUGUGAAGAGCCAAGUAUUCAGAGCUCUGAAGAAUAGCAAAGUGGGGUUUAUCAAUAUCUUAUUCCAGAGGGCAGGUACUGUUAACAGAGAAGUAUGCUUUUUCAAUCCUGAUUGAUGACAUUGUUUAAAUUGGAUGGUGCCAACCCUGCAGAUCAAAUCAGUCAAGCAAAUGCUAGGAGAAACAGACUCAGCCCAAGGUGAUUGAGGGCACUCCUUGAAUCAUGUCCAGAAGCAAACCAUAACCAGUGAAGUUCAUGAAGCAGAAGUAUUACCUGGGCAUAUCAAAGCAUAUCCAUUACUCCUCAUAUUCUGGACCAGUUGAAGCUUCUGGAUGCUCUUUUAAGGGCAGUCCCAUGUAAAGUAUAUUGCAGUAAUCAAGCUGCAAGGUGAGUAGGGCAAGAGUGACUGUCUGAAGGACACCCCCCCCCCAUUGGAAGGACCAUCCUUUCAUACUCAGUAAAAAAAAAUAACAGUCUCUUUAGGUAGUUGUGUAGCAAUAGGUGACAUAGGGGCUGAUCUUGAUGUAGGCUUCUAGCCCAAGAAAAUUCCACACAAUCUGGUGCAGCUUAUGGGCAAUAUACUUGAUGAGAUUUGGCAAUCCUGGUAGUGGCCUUGUGGAGUAAACUAAACUCCCUUAUCGGGGAAAUAGGCAACAUAUAAAUUUAAUAAACCAGAUAGGAAUCACAAUCAAAUGAGUGAUUCUACUUUACUGUAAAGUUGCAUUGACAGAACUUUGCUUUUUCCCAAAGGCAACUAGACUUUCUUGGGGUUUUUUCCUUUGAAAAUAUUUUGCUUCUCAUCCAAGAAGCUUCUUUAGGUCCAGAACUGAAGAGAAAUACUGGUCUAUAGUAUUAUAUAAAAGGUCUAAUUGCUAAUUCACAAAAAAAUAGACAACUAAAAUCCUGGCACUUAUUGAACCAACAUAUAUAGUGGUACUUUAGUAUUCCACUGCUUCAAAACUCAUCAAAUUUGGUACUCAAUGCAUUUUGAUGCAAAAAUGUCAUCCUGGUACUCAUCCUUUGAUACUCAACAUGCUGCGAUAAGAAUAGGAACUGCCACAGAGGACAGAGAGGAAGUUGGCCAUGCUGAAAAGGUUGCUGACAUAAGAAAAGGGACAAACAGGAAGUCCUUCCCAGCCUAAACAAAAGGUCACAUGCAAAUCAAGUCAAGAUGGAGCAAUCUUGAGCUUUUUCUCAUUCUCCUCUCUUCAGGACUACACUGGUUUUUAGCUAGCAGCUGUUGAAUUCGUUCUUCAGAGCCAUAUCCAAGCUCCUUUACAGUUGGAAAGAGAAAAAUCUGUACAGAUUUAAAAGGAUAAUUUUCACUCAUUCAUUCUCAUUAACAAUUUAGGAUUACAUAAGAUACCACAUGCAAACUGUCUAUGCUUCUCAAAAUAAAUAUUAAUAUGAAUA